rnacentral:lncRNA from 1 species
CUCCUUUCUGAUGCCAUUGGACGUUAAGUAGGCCAUGGCCAGAGGAAUGCUGUCGGCCUCGUUUGGGGAAUAGAGAGCUUGGACUGGAGACCAGGCAAUCUGGGCCCUGGAUGAUUUGCUGGGCUCUGCUUCUGCUCAGCUGAGAGAGCCACAGGAGGGCCGAAGAGGGACUGAGAUGGAAGCUCGGGGGCAGCAGCUUUGUGAGACAGCCGGGAAAAGAACAGAAGGUUUUGUCCGGUUCAAGAAUCAGAGACUGGCAGACAUGCUUCUCGAAGUAUGGACCUGGAGAGGCAGCAGGAGCUCCUGAGAAGUGCAGAUGCUAUGCCCCAGCUCUGGACCUACAGGCACAAACUCUAGGGUCCAGCCCGGCACCCCAGAGUGCUUCCACUGUGUGCUCCCGUUUGAGAACCAUUGCUGUAGGGACUUAACCUUUUUGAUCUGAUGAGCAAAUAUUCUACUCCCUUGUUUCUUCCUAUUUACAAUAAAAGUCCUGCUUCCC